rnacentral:rRNA from 1 species
GAUGAACGCUGGCGGCGUGCCUAAUACAUGCAAGUCGAGCGAACAGACGAGGAGCUUGCUCCUCUGACGUUAGCGGCGGACGGGUGAGUAACACGUGGAUAACCUACCUAUAAGACUGGGAUAACUUCGGGAAACCGGAGCUAAUACCGGAUAAUAUAUUGAACCGCAUGGUUCAAUAGUGAAAGACGGUUUUGCUGUCACUUAUAGAUGGAUCCGCGCCGCAGUAGCUAGUUGGUAAGGUAACGGCUUACCAAGGCGACGAUGCGUAGCCGACCUGAGAGGGUGAUCGGCCACACUGGAACUGAGACACGGUCCAGACUCCUACGGGAGGCAGCAGUAGGGAAUCUUCCGCAAUGGGCGAAAGCCUGACGGAGCAACGCCGCGUGAGUGAUGAAGGUCUUCGGAUCGUAAAACUCUGUUAUUAGGGAAGAACAAAUGUGUAAGUAACUAUGCACGUCUUGACGGUACCUAAUCAGAAAGCCACGGCUAACUACGUG